rnacentral:rRNA from 1 species
UACGUAGGGGGCAAGCGUUAUCCGGAUUUACUGGGUGUAAAGGGAGCGCAGGUGGUAUGGUAAGUCAGAUGUGAAAGCCCGGGGCUCAACCCCGGGACUGCAUUUGAAACUAUCAGACUGGAGUGCAGGAGAGGUAAGCGGAAUUCCUAGUGUAGCGGUGAAAUGCGUAGAUAUUAGGAGGAACACCAGUGGCGAAGGCGGCUUACUGGACUGUAACUGACACUGAGGCUCGAAAGCGUGGGGAGCAAACAGG